GAGUUUGAUCGUGGCUCAGAUUGAACGCUGGCGGCAGGCCUAACACAUGCAAGUCGGACGGCAGCACGGGAGCUUGCUCCUGGUGGCGAGUGGCGGACGGGUGAGUAGCGCUUGGGAAUCUGCCUGGCAUUGGGGGAUAACUCGGGGAAACUCGAGCUAAUACCGCGUACGCCCUGAGGGGGAAAGCAGGGGACUUGCUUGCAAGCCUUGCGAUGUCAGAUGAGCCCAAGCCGGAUUAGCUAGUUGGUGGGGUAAAGGCCUACCAAGGCGACGAUCCGUAGCUGGUCUGAGAGGAUGAUCAGCCACACUGGGACUGAGACACGGCCCAGACUCCUACGGGAGGCAGCAGUGGGGAAUAUUGGACAAUGGGGGCAACCCUGAUCCAGCCAUGCCGCGUGUGUGAAGAAGGUCUUAGGAUUGUAAAGCACUUUAAGUCAGGAGGAAGGCGCUCUGGUUAAUACCUGGAGUGAUUGACGUUACUGACAGAAUAAGCACCGGCUAACUUCGUGCCAGCAGCCGCGGUAAUACGAAGGGUGCAAGCGUUAAUCGGAAUUACUGGGCGUAAAGCGCGCGCAGGCGGUUCGAUAAGAAAGAUGUGAAAGGCCUGGGCUCAACCUGGGAAUGGCAUUUUUAACUGUCGGGCUAGAGUACGGUAGAGGGUGGUGGAAUUUCCUGUGUAGCGGUGAAAUGCGUAGAUAUAGGAAGGAACAUCAGUGGCGAAGGCGACCACCUGGACUGAUACUGACGCUCAUGUGCGAAAGCGUGGGGAGCAAACAGGAUUAGAUACCCUGGUAGUCCACGCUGUAAACGAUGUCAACUAGCCGUUGGUCUCCUAGUGGGAUAAGUGGCGCAGCUAACGCGAUAAGUUGACCGCCUGGGGAGUACGGCCGCAAGGUUAAAACUCAAAUGAAUUGACGGGGGCCCGCACAAGCGGUGGAGCAUGUGGUUUAAUUCGACGCAACGCGAAGAACCUUACCUGGCCUUGACAUCCACAGAACCUGCCAGAGA
rnacentral:rRNA from 1 species